UCAGGGCAGAAUGAACCAAUGUUACAGUACCAUGGAAAAUCUGGUCUCAGUUCUUCCUCCACCCUUCUCUGAGACCAUGGAGGGCAGUUUGUUGGAUGUGGUGACACCGAAUCCAUCUGUGAGGACUUCAAAUGACCCAUUUUCCUAAUACCAUUAAACUGAAGAAUGAUGGAAAUGGGAGUGAAUGGGCCCACCCUGAAGCCCUAAGGUGGCUGGCUGGGUGAUUAGUAAGUCUGGGCAAAUUUGGAGCCCAGCCUGUGAAGGAAACCACCUCACCCCCGCACUUCAUGGAAUGUGUUCUGGUUGAGCUUCUUGGCAAUUCAUCUACUGUUAAUAAUGACCAGAGCUUGUCUGAGCAGAGCUCGCUGCAUGUGCUAGGGUGCUUUAUAGGCACGGCUCCGGUUCAUUUUUACAACGGUCGGUUCACAAACCCCGGGCCAAUCCCAUUUCCAAUUUACUGUAGAGGCUAGAGAAGUAGAAAGACUUGCCCAGGAGCAGACAACCAAUGAGUGCCUCCUAAACCCACAUCUGUGCAGCUAAAGAGGACCUCUGGUCGGAAUAGAGAGAAGGCAUCAGGCUCGAGGAGACAGGUCAUAUAUAUUCUGUAAUAGCCCUUUGUUUCCUGAUCUAACACUGUCCAAUACUAGCAACUCUGCCUUUUGUUAUAGACUUGAAGCUAGGAUGCGACAACAAGCAUGGUGCUUCUGCAAAGAGACAGCUAAAACAAAACUUAAUAAAUAAAAGAUAAGCAUAGCCCAGUUCAUUAAAUGACUAGUUAAAUAAUUUGCCUGACAAAUGUCAGCUCUUUUCUCUUUUCCUACCCCUGAUCUCUGGCUGCCAUGUCCCUUUGGGGUUCCCCUUUCUGCUGAUCUUCCUGUCUUCCUUCAUGGCUCAGCCCUGUCUCAGUGACUCUCAUGUUGUUCCCCAGAGAGAACCUUCUGCGCCACCUAGAGGACACUUUACUGGGUUUUCUGGGAAGAAACCUUGGGAUGCUGAGAACUGAGGGAAGAAGGCUGCUGAGAAAGGCGGGCCACUGUCCAGAAGUCAAAGGUGAUGGAUGGCAACAACCACUAUGCCUACCUAAGACGUUCAUUCCGUCCUUGAACUCCAGGCCCUUCUUGAUAACGAUCUUAGUUUCUUCAGGGGCCUCGUUCAUGGUUUCAUUCAACAUGGAGAUGACCGCCUUGGUUGUAUUGGCCUCCUCAGAUGGAGGUGCCACCAGAACUUUCUUUGUCACUGUCUGAAUCUAAUGGAGCAGGAAGGAAAAAGAAUAAAGGUGAAGGUUAGUCUAAAAGGUCAACAACCACCCAGCCAACCAUACACUUGAACCUUCCCAAGAUGUUAACUACAACUAUGAAAUGCCAAAACAAGGCUAAUAAAACUGGGGAAUAUUUUAUGA
rnacentral:lncRNA from 1 species